UGAUCAGUGACUCAGAGUUGGAGUUCCAACUUCUGAGGAGAUAAAAGGUUGUGGAAGAUUCUGUGUGGCCUGAAAAGCAAUGAACAUCCCUCUCCCUUGAAGCUUGAUUUUAUUCACGUCUGGAAGAUGGAUGAGAAGGAAGAAGAGGAAGAAGAAGCAGAAACAACAACAAUAACAACAACAACCCUGGGCCC